rnacentral:rRNA from 1 species
GAUGAACGCUGGCGGCGUGCUUAACACAUGCAAGUCGAACGAAGCAUUUGCGACAGAUUUUUUCGGAAUGAAGUUGCUUAUGACUGAGUGGCGGACGGGUGAGUAACGCGUGGGUAACCUGCCUUGUACUGGGGGAUAGCAGCUGGAAACGGCUGGUAAUACCGCAUAAGCGCACAAUGUUGCAUGACAUGGUGUGAAAAACUCCGGGGGUAUAAGAUGGACCCGCGUCUGAUUAGCUAGUUGGUGAGAUAACAGCCCACCAAGGCGACGAUCAGUAGCCGACCUGGGAGGGUGACCGGCCACAUUGGGACUGAGGCACGGCCCAGACUCCUACGGGAGGGAGCAGUGGGGAAUAUUGCACAAUGGAGGAAGCUCUGAUGCAGCGGCGCCGCGUGAGUGAGGAAGUAAUUCGUUAUGUAAAGCUCUAUCAGCAGGGAAGAUAGUGACGGUACCUGACUAAGAAGCUCCGGCUAAAUACGUG